rnacentral:lncRNA from 1 species
GUAGCUUGAGGGACAAAUCUAUUGAAAGUAUUUAGCUCGUGAGUUUGGAUCGUAAGUAUGAUAUUAGAGUCUUGACUCAGUAUUAUUACAAAGGUGGAGCAAAGCAAACAUCAACUAGGACACUGAAUCCCUAGUGUGAGGGUUACGUGGCAUCUGUAAUUGAAUGCGGAUCGAUGAAGAUAUGCAGAAGAGAAGGACUAACAAGCUUCAACAUCGAGAUUCUGUAUUAUACAAAGGUGGAGCAACGCAAACAUCAACUAGGACACUGAAUUCCUAAUGUAAGGAUUAUGUGUUGUCUGUAACAGAGAACGGAUUGAUGAAGAUAUACAGAAGAGUAGGACUAACAAGCUUCAACGUCGAGAUUCUGUAUCAUACAAAAGUGGAGCAAAUUAAAGCAAACAUCAACUAGGACACUGAAAUCCUAAUAUGAGGGUUACGUGACGUCCGUAAUGGAGAGCAAAUCGAUGAAGACAAACUGAAGAGAAGGAUUGACUAGCUUUAACAUAGCGACACACGUUACAACUUAGAUCAAUCACACAUCGGAGUGAUGUGGAACAGGAAUGAGAGAAGUAGCAAGGAUAUACUGGUGAGAUGGUUGUACUCUGGAAAUGAAAAGAAAUUAUUAGAAUCGUCACUUUAGAAAAUAUAAGCUUUACAA